UUACGGAAGGCGGCAGUGGGGAAUUUUGGACAAUGGGCGCAAGCCUGAUCCAGCCAUGCCGCGUGCGGGAAGAAGGCCUUCGGGUUGUAAACCGCUUUUGUCAGGGAAGAAACGGCUUUCUCUAAUACAGAGAGCUAAUGACGGUACCUGAAGAAUAAGCACCGGCUAACUACGUGCCAGCAGCCGCGGUAAUACGUAGGGUGCAAGCGUUAAUCGGAAUUACUGGGCGUAAAGCGUGCGCAGGCGGUUAUGCAAGACAGAGGUGAAAUCCCCGGGCUCAACCUGGGAACUGCCUUUGUGACUGCAUGGCUAGAGUGCGGCAGAGGGGGAUGGAAUUCCACGUGUAGCAGUGAAAUGCGUAGAUAUGCGGAGGAACACCGAUGGCGAAGGCAAUCCCCUGGGCCUGCACUGACGCUCAUGCACGAAAGCGUGGGGAGCAAACAGGAUUAGAUACCCCUGUAGUCG
rnacentral:rRNA from 1 species